ensembl:lncRNA
UGUUGUGUUUUCAUUUACAAAUGAAACUAUGUGAAUGAUUAAUUCAUCAACGAAAAAAUAGAGUGUUUAUCAAAAAUUGUAUAGUAUUAUCCUGUGUUUUUUCCCUUCUCNCAUAUAGUCAAAACUUUAUUGCCAUAAUUGUCAGAUAAAUGAUAAUGAGCUGUUGUGUUUUCAUUUACAAAUGAAACUACGUGAAGGAUUAAUUCCUCAACGAAACAAUAUAGUAUUUAUCAAAAAUUGUAUAGUAUUAUCCUGUGUUUUUUCCCUUCUCCCAAAACAGCUUAUAAUAGGCUACUGUUUUAGCUAUUAAAAUAGUUCAGUUUUGUAUGUAAUGGCAAAGUGAUUAUAUUUCGUUUUUUUUUUUUUUUUAUAAUUCGUUUUCUUUUUUUUUAAGUUAAUUUAGAAAAAACGUUUGGAGCAUUUAUUGUUCGUUAAAUAUAAGUUUUUGUACUAGUUACUAGUUUAUUGGUAAAUAAUUAAAAUAUCUCCUUAAUAUUUCCCCCUGACACAUUCAUGGUUAUUACUAUUGCUGGGGCUUUCCGGCAAGCUUGAGCCGCUCUUGACAGUCGCAGUAGCACGGUCUUGUGUUGUUUCCACCAGCACUGCAUUUUUUUUCAACACUAAUUGAUGGAUGUCUAAAAUAUAAAAAUAAGGAAAAGCCUAAAACAGGCCCGAGGCCCGGACCGCGUCUGAACUAUGAUGUGAAAAUAUGCCCGAAGCACGGCCCUAGAUGUGUAAAAAAGUCGGGCCGGCCUGAAAUGCAGGUUUAACUAUUACUUACUAUUAGAAAAGUAGUUAAUAUCUUUAACUGACACAUAUGUAGUAGUGGUAGGCUACUACAUAUGUGUACUAUAUAUAUUAGUGCAAAUGGAAUGUCAGGAUUCAGGAGUACCAGAUAAAAUGAUACAUACUUGUGUUCGGUUCACAGACAUACAUUCACAGUUUCAUACAUUUAUCUUGUCCAUCAAAGAAGACUUUAAUAAAAUAGCUAAGAAAGAUGACAAGUGACACUGCAUUGACUCCCCUUUUAAAUUGCUAAUUUAACACUUUACAUUUUUUUUUUAUAUAAUCAGGUUUCACUUAGAAAACUACUAAUCCGGUCAACAAUAAGUUUA